rnacentral:rRNA from 1 species
CCUACGGGGAGCAGCAGUGAGGAAUAUUGGUCAAUGGGCGCGAGCCUGAACCAGCCAAGUAGCGUGAAGGAUGACUGCCCUACGGGUUGUAAACUUCUUUUAUAAAGGCAUAAAGUGAGGCACGUGUGCCUUUUUGUACGUACUUUAUGAAUAAGGAUCGGCUAACUCCGUGCCAGCAGCCGCGGUAAUACGGAGGAUCCGAGCGUUAUCCGGAUUUAUUGGGUUUAAAGGGAGCGUAGAUGGGUUGUUAAGUCAGUUGUGAAAGUUUGCGGCUCAACCGUAAAAUUGCAAUUGAUACUGGCAGUCUUGAGUGCAGUGGAGGUAGGCGGAAUUCGUGGUGUAGCGGUGAAAUGCUUAGAUAUCACGAAGAACUCCGAUUGCGAAGGCAGCUUACUAAACAGCCACUGACAUUGAUGCUCGAAAGUGUGGGUAGCAAACAGGAUUAGAUACCCCAGUAGUC